rnacentral:lncRNA from 1 species
GCCUGAUGCGUCUGUUGAUCCUUUCUGAACAUUCUCUCGGUAUUCCUCCUUCGAUAACUCUCAAUCCCGGCACACAACCUGUAGCAGGUAAGUUCAGCAACCCGAUUCUCCUUGCUCCAAGUUGAUAGAGUUGCUGUUAAUUUCCAUACCGGCCGGAAUGUUCUUUCGUGUUAGAAUCACAUAUAUAUAUAGGUGUGCGAAUCUUUGAAAACAAGCAUGUUUUUUUUUAUAUGAGCAACAUGAACAAACCUGAUGGAAAUGCAGGGCGUAACGGAUGAGUAGAUCGGUGUGCGAAUCUUCGUCAUAGGAAGCACCGGGGAUAGGGUUUGUGAUGUCGUUGCUUCCUAGGAAAGUCAUGUAUGCACUUUCUGAUAUGAUGGAUCUUGUUCUUUCUUCACCAACAC